rnacentral:tRNA from 1 species
GGAGAGGUGUCCGAGUCCGGCUUAAGGAGCACGCCUGGAAAGCGUGUGUGGGGGAAACUCCACCGGAGGUUCAAAUCCUCUCCUCUCCG